ensembl:lncRNA
AAAUGAUCUAAUAUCUAAUAGAAAAGGCAGGUGUUCUCUCUAAUUUCUAGAAAGACUGAAGUCACAGAAAGGAGAGGGAGGUACAUGAAAAAAGAAGAAGUAGAAAUGUGUUUUCCUGACUGAAUCACUAGUUCAUUGAGUAUGAGAACAAGUCAAAGACGGAGACAAACAAUGGGUGAAUUUAUGUGGAUUUUACUUUGUAUGAUUUUUCUUCAAUUAACAGCAGAUGUUAAUGGAAACAACAUCAGUGUCUUCGUCCAGAAUGGAAAUGAUGUCACUUUGCCUUGUAUGAAUGUGAUCAGUGGUCAACAUAGAUGUGAGAAGACUACAUGGACUUUCAAAGCUUCAGUAAGAGAAUCAGCAGUGGAGUUAAUUAAAAAUGGAAAGGUUAAAGAAUCUGUUUUAAAUCGAUCAGACAGAAUGAAUAUUACAGGAGACUGUUCUCUGCUUAUAAACAAAGUCACAUUCUCAAGUGCAGGUCAGUAUUACUGUAAACAGAGCCAUGAAUCAAAAGAACACAAUGAUGACGCUGAGGUUCAUCUGUCUGUUGUGACCAUGACUGAAAGGAACGACAGUAAUGUGCAGUUCAUCUGCUCUGUGUGGGCACAAAAAAAAUGUGAACACACAGUGAAGUGGCUGUAUGAUGGUGAAGUAAUGAACAGUGUGACCAAAGAUUCAAAGAUAUCAUACAUCUGUUUGGCCUCUGUGACCUUGGAUAAUAAACCAAUAAAUUAUGAGUUGCUGGAGUGUGAAGUGACAGAUGCAGACAGUAAAAAAGUGCAUCGCUUUCCCUUUAAAUCUCCAGUUCAGGAAACAGGUGAAGAUGAAACUAAACCAACCACAACAGCAUCUACAACAACAGAAGAUCCUGUUUUUUUUAUCAGGCUCAUCAUUGUGUGUGUGGGUUUAACAGGCCUCUCAUUGACUGCUUGUGUUCUCCCCCGGUGGAUGAAUAGGAAACGGAAUACGACACAGAUCAGUCAAAAUGAAGUGGUCAUGUCUCACCGUGUUGUGGAGGCUUCUGCAGCCUCCGCCGACCCUGACGUCACUUAUGAAAACCAGCAAAACACAUAAGAGGACACAGAGUCGUCUGGAACAUCUCACCCAUCAGCGUUUAAUGGGUUUUCUAUCUAUCUAUAUAGACAUGAUCUUUCUGAGUCCUGUGUAUUUAGUAAUUUCUGAAUCUGUAACAAUUGUGCAGGUAUAUAUUCAAUUAUUUCACAUUGUCUUUAAUUUUUCUUUUUACAGGAAAAUGUUGUAUAUCAUUAAAAUCAAAUCCACUUUAUUGUAAUCCAUGAACGAAUGAUAUAGGUGGAUGUAAAGUCGUUAUUUUAAAUCCUAUUGUACAUUUUAAGACAGAGAAAAAUAAAAACAAAUCAAAA